rnacentral:lncRNA from 1 species
AGCAAUGCAUCGUUCACCGAUCUCUUAAGAGUUAUUGAAAGAACCUAUGCCAGAUUUGAACAUCCCGAUCUCUUUCAAUAAGACAAAAUUCUAUGAUAAAAGAUUUGGGCUUAGACUAUCAAAGAUUGGAAGGGAUGGGAAGUUAAGGCAUUCGGUCGAUGCCCAAGUAUGGAAACACUUUGAUGCAAAACAUUCAAAUUUUGCUCGUGAAACUCGUAAAAUCAGGCUUAGGUUAGCAAGUGAUGGGUUUUAUCCAUUUAGGUGUACGAGUCUUUCACAUCCCACAUGGUCUGUUGUAUUAACAAUAUAUUAAUUAUCCGCAAAAUAUGUGCUUGAAGGCUGAAAAUUGUUUGAAUGUAUAAUUAUUCCAGUCUUUGAUUUCUCAUAUAAUCGCAGCU